GAUUUAGACACCAGUUCUCAAGAAGGAGGAAGUGAGGGACCUUCUCAAGGUCCACAAGCUGAGCCACACACAGACCCACAAGCAGAGCUUGUUGUACAUAGGACUGAAGGUGAUAUUGGUUCUCAAAGGAAAUCCUCUCGAAAUACCUAUAAGAAGCGACGACCAGUCAUCUUGAGAGAUGAGGAGCAGUCUUCAGGAGAUGAACAUGUUACAGUUCCACAAACAGAGCUUGUUGAACAUAGGACUGAAGGUGAUAUUGAUAUUCAAAGGAAAUCCUCACGACAUACUAGUAAGAAGCGACCAAUCAUCUUAAGUGACGAGGAGCAAUCUU